rnacentral:rRNA from 1 species
UGGGGAAUAUUGCACAAUGGGCGCAAGCCUGAUGCAGCAACGCCGCGUGAACGAUGAAGGUCUUCGGAUCGUAAAGUUCUGUUGCAGGGGAAGAUAAUGACGGUACCCUGUGAGGAAGCCCCGGCUAACUACGUGCCAGCAGCCGCGGUAAUACGUAGGGGGCUAGCGUUAUCCGGAUUUACUGGGCGUAAAGGGUGCGUAGGUGGUCUUUCAAGUCGGUGGUUAAAGGCUACGGCUCAACCGUAGUUAGCCUCCGAAACUGGAAGACUUGAGUGCAGGAGAGGAAAGUGGAAUUCCCAGUGUAGCGGUGAAAUGCGUAGAUAUUGGGAGGAACACCAGUAGCGAAGGCGGCUUUCUGGACUGAAACUGACACUGAGGCACGAAAGCGUGGGUAGCAAACAGG